GAAACCAACUUCAAACCAUUUUGUUAAUCCAUUUCAAUUUUAUUUCAUUACAUUUGAUUCCAUACAAAAAAUACAAAAUUUGGCAUUUUUGACCAACUGUUGACUUUGGUCAACCGUUGACUUUUUGGUCAACUUUGACCAAAGUCAACCCAAUUUCAUUAAACCCUAAAUUCACCCAUAAUUGUCCAUUGAAUUCCAU
rnacentral:lncRNA from 1 species